CCUACGGGUGGCAGCAGUGGGGGAUAUUGCACAAUGGGGGAAACCCUGAUGCAGCGACGCCGCGUGAGCGAUGAAGUAUUUCGGUAUGUUAAGCUCUAUUAGUAGGGAAGAAAAUGAAGGUACCUGUCUAAGAAGCCACGUCUAACUACGUGCCAGAUGCCGCGGUAAUACGUCGGGGGCCAGCGUUAUCCGGAUUUACUGGGUUUAAAGGGGGCGUAGACGGCUUUGCAAGUCAGAAGUGAAAGGCAAGGGCACAACCCUUGGAUUGCCUUUGAAACUGUGCUGCUGGAGUGUCGUCGAGGCAAGUGGAAUUCCUAGUGUAGCGGUGAAAUGCGUAGAUAUUAGGAGGAACACCAGUGGCGAAGGCGGCUUGCUAAGCGAUGACUGACGUUGAGGCUCGAAAGCGUGGGGAGCAAACAGGAUUAGAUACCCGAGUAGUC
rnacentral:rRNA from 1 species